CAGAAAUGACCCUAACCUUCACAUCUCACUUAUGGCCUCGUUGUAAUAAUUAGUUUUGAAAUGUGCAAAAUGUGUAGAAAGAGUCAUGAAGUGAUUUUUUUUAUUUUUUUUUUUUUUUUCUGUAGCUGGUUUUCAAGGGGCUUGGUGUAUUUCCUUCUCUAUCUCUGUCCACAGAUAUUUAUCUACCCAUGGCUACUGGCCGGUAAUCUCACUCGAAACUGUUGUUCCAAUACUUAUGGAACUCUAUCAGGAUAUUGUUUUGUAUCUGAGAUACGAAAGUGUGUUCCUAGUAGGUGACUCUUGCCGAGAAGACACCAUCCUCAGAAACUGUUUGGAGCAGAGCUCUGCGGGUUGCUCAGCCAGAAGCUUUUCACUAAAGAGUGAUGUAGCUGACCUGUACACAGAACUGACAUCCAUCUCCAAACUUGCUGUUGCUUUACAUUCUCUGCAGAAAUUUUAGAUGCCUUUGUUCAACCAUUUCUUCUCUUUCCAGAAUGCAUCUCAGAGAGCUGCAGUCUACUUUCUCCUCUGUUUUAUGCUUGUUUUGCAGUGGCAGAAUUCUCUUCAGAUUAUUGGUUUCUAAACAAAGCAGGUCAAUACCAAACGCUCUGCACUCUCACGCACAGCAGUAACGUUUUAAGGUAGAUUAGUUCAAACCUCAUGAAGGUGCCUUUUUAAUUGGAAAGUGGAAAAGGGGAGAAAAACAUUGUAAGAUGGAGACUUGGUUAAAAAUCUAAAGCUAAUGAAACAAAACAAGGAACCCCACAAAGAAAGAAAGAAACAAAAGCCAGCAAAAGCAAACCGCAAAAAACCUCAGUUGUGCAAUUUCUCUGUACAGUAAUUGGUAGCUUUAAAAACUUAAAGUACAGAUAAUGAACAGAAAUACUGCGGACAUUCUUAACCUUAGCAUAAGCAUGGUUAAGCUAGAUGGAGGCCAGACUUUGUAUGGUAUCUGGUAGGUUUCAGUAGCAUCC
rnacentral:lncRNA from 1 species